UGGGGAAUAUUGCACAAUGGGGGAAACCCUGAUGCAGCAACGCCGCGUGAAGGAAGAAGGCCUUCGGGUUGUAAACUUCUUUAGCCAGGGACGAAGAAUGACGGUACCUGGAGAAUAAGCCACGGCUAACUACGUGCCAGCAGCCGCGGUAAUACGUAGGUGGCAAGCGUUGUCCGGAUUUACUGGGUGUAAAGGGCGUGUAGGCGGGUGCGCAAGUCAGAUGUGAAAUUCCGGGGCUCAACCCCGGCGCUGCAUCUGAAACUGCGGAUCUUGAGUGCUGGAGAGGAAAGCGGAAUUCCUAGUGUAGCGGUGAAGUGCGUAGAUAUUAGGAGGAACACCAGUGGCGAAGGCGGCUUUCUGGACAGUAACUGACGCUGAGGCGCGAAAGCGUGGGGAGCAAACA
rnacentral:rRNA from 1 species